AUAUCAGUCAUGCAUAGCAUAUCAAUAAGCGGAGGAAAAGAAACUAACAAGGAUUCCCUUAGUAACGGCGAGUGAAGUGGGAAGAGCUCAAAUUUGAAAUCUUCAAGGUUUUACCUUGACGAAUUGUAGUUUAAAGAAGUGUUUUCUGUUGGAGUUUUGGUAAAAGUUCUUUGGAAUAGGACAUCAUAGAGGGUGAGAAUCCCGUAUUUGACCAUUAUUUCCAGCUGUGUGAUACACUUUCAAAGAGUCGGAUUGUUUGGGAAUGCAGUCCAAAAUGGGUGGUAAAUUUCAUCUAAAGCUAAAUAUUGGCGAGAGACCGAUAGCGAACAAGUACCGUGAGGGAAAGAUGAAAAGAACUUUGAAAAGAGAGUUAAACAGUACGUGAAAUUGUCAAAAGGGAAGCGUUUGACACCAGUGUUGUUUUUCCGAAAGUCAAUUACGAAUGUUUUGUUUUUAAGAAGUUAUGACUUCAUCGGCUUGCUUCUUUCUUUACGAAACUUUCUUAAUGCACUUUUCGGUUAACAAGUCAACAUCAAUUUCUUUUGUUGUAAAAGGGUACGAGGAAGGUGGCUUUCUUUUCGGAGAAAGUGUUUAUAGCCUUGUACCUCUGCAAUCGGAGAGAUUGAGGUCUGCAGCGUAGAUCCUUCGGGGUUAGAUACAUUUGUGCUAAGUUAUAGCUUUUCAUAGACAACUUGUUGACUAUGUUAAGUCUUGUAGCUUACUCGCUUAUGCUAUUUUACCUACGCUUAGGAUGUUGAUCUCUCACAGUCGAGC
rnacentral:rRNA from 1 species